UACAGAGGGUGCGAGCGUUAAUCGGAAUUAUUGGGCGUAAAGAGCGUGUAGGCGGCCAAGCAGGUCCGCUGUGAAAACUCGAGGCUCAACCUCGAGACGUCGGUGGAAACCGUUUGGCUAGAGUCCGGAAGAGGAGAGUGGAAUUCCCGGUGUAGCGGUGAAAUGCGCAGAUAUCGGGAAGAACACCCGUGGCGAAGGCGGCUCUCUGGGACGGUACUGACGCUGAGACGCGAAAGCGUGGGGAGCGAACAGG
rnacentral:rRNA from 1 species